UCUUUACAAAUCGCUGUGGUGAAUAACUUGUUGCCUGUAUUUAUCCCUUUUCAAAUUGUCUCUUAGCUACAGUCAUUCGUCUUCAUUCUACACCCUGAUGGCGCGUGCACCGCCAGUUGGGCAACCUCAUUAUUUCCCUGCUGCCUGGAAGAGGAAGGGGAAGAAGGAAGGGAGGGGAGAGAGGAAGAAGAUGAGAGAGGUGGGGUGGCUGGGUUGCUGGUGGCGGAGGGACUCCCACCAGAGGAACCGGCCUGGGCAAGGACCUAGGCAACUAGGAUCCUUUCCCCCAAAGGUCCCCACUGCCUGAGCUCCUGGCGGGAGAACCCGGCCCUCUUCCAGGGAGUUUGAGAGCAGGACUGCCCUCUGCAGAGGAGGCCCAGGACACCCUCAGGUUGCCAGACCAAGGCUAUUUUUAGAAAAAUCAUGACUCACAUUUUGAAAGGCGGAAGAAAAAAAGUCUUUUUCCCCAGCAAUCAAAUGUUCCCGUCCUCUGGGUGACACACAUUUAGGGUUCAAACCAAGCCGGAUAACAACCUCAGUGUUCAAGGCCCUCUGUGAAAUCUGCCAGGGAGGCUGCUGGAAGAAUCCCACCUCCGAAAGGGAAACCAAGCCACAACGUCCAAGGGCUGGUCCAACACCAGGACUCCAGGAAGGAGAAGACGCCUGCAACCAUGUCUGAACUUGUCCCCCAGGCAGAGUCGAUGAAGGGGGCCGGGGGGUCCACCUCUUCCAUUUGGCCUUCCUAGAACGGUCCAUCUGGAGAGGGAAGUCCUUGUACGCUUCCCCCAGUCGCUACCUAAGUAACAUCCACACUCUCUCCACCUUCCACGUGCAGAGGGCUUUAAAUGCAAUUG